UAUGUUUUUUUUCUAAUUAUUUAGUACAGGUACAGCUUUUUUGUUUUGGUCUUGGAAAAAAGAAUUCUUGUCUUAGCUUUAUCAAAGAUAAGAGAAUAAAAUUGUCAUUGUUGUGGUCGUGAGCUCAAAUGAAGCGGAAUAGAAACAAUUAUGGAAAAUUACAACCACUUUAAUCUUCCUAAACUGUAAUUUUAUCUUGGCAAUUGAAGGGCACAUUGCUGCGUACACUGCUGUUAUCAAUGUUUUCCAAGUUAUCAUUUCAACAUUACCAGAAUUGAAAUAAUUCGAUCCGGGGGGUGAUCAAAUGUUAUAUUGCAUUUAUUUAAGCGUUCAUCAGUUCAAGGGCAAGGGCCAAAAAUAAAUAUGAAGGAUUGCCAAGUAUCGUUCUUGGUGAUUUUGUUUGAUUCUCGACUGAAGUUUUAAUUACCGCAAAAAAUAAUCUCGAGGGAGUUUGGAGAAAAUAAUCAUUGAUCGGCCGCCUCCGCAGUUUUCCUGCCACCUCUACAAAGAUACAUUUAUCAUUUAAGAGUGUUACUUCGAAAAGUCAUUGAUGAAGGUGACAAUCAAAAAAUUCUUGGCCCAAAUCCACAUGUUUAUAUAAGUGUCUUGCAUCAUUACCGGCCAGUUCCGAUGUUAUCAUAAUUCAGUUCGAAUUUGACGACAGUUCGGCCAUGGCAAUUUUCACAAGAUGCACCAAAAGUAUGACUGUUGCAAAAUUGGGGAUUUUGUCGGCCGUUACUGAUAUGAAUCAAGUUCUUUGUGUGUUUAUCAUCGCACGGACUCUUCGACAAGCUUUCAGAAAUUUCUGAAGGAAACCAGUAUUUCUUUGAAAACGACAUGUAUCAAAUGUAUGAAAUAAAUUAGCAAUAAAUUUUAUUUAA